rnacentral:rRNA from 1 species
UACGGGGGGGGCAAGCGUUGUUCGGAAUUACUGGGCGUAAAGGGCUCGUAGGUGGCCAACUAAGUCAGACGUGAAAUCCCUCAGCUUAACUGGGGAACUGCGUCUGAUACUGGAUGGCUUGAGUUUGGGAGAGGGAUGCGGAAUUCCAGGUGUAGCGGUGAAAUGCGUAGAUAUACGGAGGAACACCAGCGGCGAAGGCGGGUAGCUGGGCCAACACUGACGCUGAUGCGCGAAAGCUAGGGGAGCAAACGGG